UCAUCUCUUCCGACAGAAUCACAGCCGCACCCCUGCCAGCAGCAGGCUCGCUGGAAGAGCUUCAGGGUGCAUGGCAACUGCCUGGUGUAUAGACUGCGCUUGGUUUUUUGAUGCAAGCCCCUGACUCAACUUCAAUCUCCUUUUCUGAGGAUUAUGUGCUUGACUUCGUCUUGGAUCACUCCAUCUAAUUUCCUAUACUUCUGGAUAGUUCAGGAAUAUGAGUCCUCUGCUGAAAUGUUAAAGGCCAUGUCACAUAUACAUGUGUAUGUAUAUAUAAUUUUCAUAUAAAUCAUUUUCUUUAGCCUCACAGUAACAAUGAAA